UCCUCCGAUUUCUCCUCUUUCUUCCUUCUUUUCCUUGUUUUUUCUAUCUUCUUUUUCUUCUCCUCCAGAUCUGCAACAUUUUCAUGCCUAGUUUGUUUUUGAGCAUAGUGGAUCGGCUGGCUUUCUUCUUCUCUCUAAUGUCUUCGAACCCAAAUCCGAUCCCCAAUUUAAGAAAAAGAUAGAUUGAUAUCAGAUGUGUAGGUUUAUGAAAAUAUUUGCGAGAUCUGGGUUUUGCAGAAUCAUUGUGAGUAGAAAUUGGAGGUGGAGGUGAAAGAGAGCUAUCCUGGUUUCCAGCACACGAAAAAUUUGAAACACGUAUAGUAAGUUUUGGGAUAUGAGUUCGAUCAGUUUGCUAUUGUGAUAGAUGCUUGAUUAGUUACUCUCCGUUGGAAGUUUUGCUUCUUAAUUUCAUCUCAGCUUAGAAGGAGCCAAGAGGACAGGUAUUGAUGUAUGGACUUGCUUUGAUUAUCAGCCUCAGCAAAAGAGAGUUUAAUGUUGGGAAUUUCCAGAGAGUACAACUGCGAAAAGGAAGGAGGAAAACAAAACAGUAGCAGCUACAUUGUUCUUUUCAUAUUCUCUGGUUGUAUUAUGCUUUUCGUUGUUCACCUUGUAUCAUUUCUCACAUAAAUUGGA